rnacentral:sRNA from 1 species
ACAUAAUUUUAUAUAAAUCACACACACAUCGUCACAUUUGUCGGGGUGCUUUUAUUUUGUUUGUUAAUCGCCUGCUUAGCUCGCUUUUAGUUAGAAAUAAAGGUCGAAAAAAUGGGAUGUGUGGAGGCCUAAC